CCUACGGUGGGCAGCAGUGAGGAAUAUUGGUCAAUGGGCGGGAGCCUGAACCAGCCAAGUCGCGUGAAGGAAGAAGGUACUGCGUAUUGUAAACCUCUUUUGUCAGGGAAUAAAGGCGGGGACUAGUCCCCUGAUGAAGGUACCUGACGAAUAAGCAUCGGCUAACUCCGUGCCAGCAGCCGCGGUAAUACGGAGGAUCCGAGCGUUAUCCGGAUUUAUUGGGUUUAAGGGGUGCGCAGGGGGCUUGUUAAGUCAGCGGUAAAGGCUGGGGGUUCAACCCCGGAGUGCCGUUGAAACUGGCGGUCUUGAGUUGAAGAGAAGUACGCGGAAUGCGCGGUGUAGCGGUGAAAUGCUUAGAUAUCGCGCAGAACCCCGAUUGCGAAGGCAGCGUACCGACUCCACACUGACGCUGAGGCACGAAAGCGUGGGUAUCGAACAGGAUUAGAUACCCUGGUAGUC
rnacentral:rRNA from 1 species